rnacentral:rRNA from 1 species
AUUGAACGCUGGCGGCAGGCCUAACACAUGCAAGUCGAACGAGUGGCGGACGGGUGAGUAAUGGCUGGGAAACUGGCUGAUGGAGGGGGAUAACUACUAGAAACGGUAGCUAAUACCGCAUACCGUCGUAUGUGCCCAGAUGGGAUUAGUUAGUAGGUGGGGUAACGGCACACCCAGGCGACGAUCCCUAGCUGGUCUGAGAGGAUGACCGGCCACACUGGAACUGAGACACGGCCCAGACUCCUACGGGAGGCAGCAGUGGGGAAUAUUGCACAAUGGGCGCAAGCCUGAUGCAGCCAUGCCGCGUGUAUGAAGAAGGCCUUCGGGUUGUAAAGUACUUUCAGCGGGGAGGCGUUACCCGCAGAAGAAGCACCGGCUAACUCCGUGCCAGCAGCCGCGGUAAUAC